rnacentral:rRNA from 1 species
UACGGGGGGAGCAAGCGUUGUUCGGAUUUACUGGCGUAAAGGGCGCGUAGGCGGCCAGCACAAGUCAGUUGUGAAAUCUCCGAGCUUAACUCGGAAAGGUCAACUGAUACUGUGCGGCUAGAGUGCGGAAGGGGCAACUGGAAUUCUUGGUGUAGCGGUGAAAUGCGUAGAUAUCAAGAGGAACACCUGCGGCGAAGGCGGGUUGCUGGGCCGACACUGACGCUGAGGCGCGAAAGCCAGGGGAGCGAACGGG